AUUGAACGCUGGCGGCAGGCCUAACACAUGCAAGUCGAACGCGUGGCGUACGGGUGAGUAAUGUCUGGGAAACUGCCCGCUGGAGGGGGAUAACUACUGGAAACGGUAGCUACUACCGCAUACCAUCUGAUGUGCCCAGAUGGGAUUAGCUAGUAGGGGGGGUAAAGGCUCACCUAGGCAACGAUCCCUAGCUGGUCUGAUAGGAUGAACAUCAAAACUGGAACUGAGACACGGUCCAGACGACUACGGGAGGCAGCAGCGGGGAAUAUUGCACAAUGGGCGCAAGCCUGAUGCAGCCAUGCCGCGUGUAUGAAGAAGGCCUUCGGGUUGUAAAGUACUUUCAGCGAGGAGGCGUUACUCGCAGAAGAAGCACCGGCUAACUCCGUGCCAGCAGCCGCGGUAAUUC
rnacentral:rRNA from 1 species